CCUACGGGUGGCUGCAGUCGAGAAUCAUUCACAAUGGGGGAAACCCUGAUGGUGCGACGCCGCGUGGGGGAAUGAAGGUCUUCGGAUUGUAAACCCCUGUCAUGUGGGAGCAAAUUAAAAAGACAGUACCACAAGAGGAAGAGACGGCUAACUCUGUGCCAGCAGCCGCGGUAAUACAGAGGUCUCAAGCGUUGUUCGGAAUCACUGGGCGUAAAGCGUGCGUAGGCUGUUUUGUAAGUCGUGUGUGAAAGGCGCUGGCUCAACCCGCGGACGGCACAUGAUACUGCGAGACUAGAGUAAGGGAGGGGGAACCGGAAUUCUCGGUGUAGCAGUGAAAUGCGUAGAUAUCGAGAGGAACACUCGUGGCGAAGGCGGGUUCCUGGACAUUAACUGACGCUGAGGCACGAAGGCCAGGGGAGCGAAAGGGAUUAGAUACCCGGGUAGUC
rnacentral:rRNA from 1 species